rnacentral:rRNA from 1 species
UACGUAGGGUGCAAGCGUUACUCGGAAUUACUGGGCGUAAAGCGUGCGUAGGUGGUUGUUAGUACUGUUGUGAAAGCCCCCGGGUCAACCUGGGAAUGGCAAUGGAUACUGGCAGGCUAGAGUGCGGUAGAGGGUAGUGGAAUUCCCGGUGUAGCGGUGAAAUGCGUAGAGAUCGGGAGGAACACCGGUGGCGAAGGCGGGUCUCUGGGCAGUAACUGACGCUGAGGAGCGAAAGCGUGGGGGAGCGAACAGG